GUAUGGAUUAUCAAUAAAGUAUAUGAUUCGUUUGAGGAACAUCUUGAGAUUCAAGCAAUUGAGGAUGAUAUAACUAGUAAAUAUACUCCUCCCCAUGUCAACAUAUUUUAUUGUUUAGGGAGAAUUACACUUUUUGUAGUACAAGUCACUACCGGUUUUGCUAUGACUUUUUACUACUGACCAACCGUUAUACAGGCUUUUUCCUUGGUUCAAUACAUAAUGACCGAGGCCAACUUUGGUUGCUUAAUCUGAUGAGUUCAUCGAUGGUCAGCAAGUAUGACGGUUUUAAUGAUGAUCCUGCAUGUAUUUCAUGUGUAUCUCACAGGGGGUUUAAAAAAUCCCGAAUUAACCUGGGUCACAGGUGUGGUUUUGGCUGUCUUGACUGCAUCAUUUGGUGUAACGGGUUAUUCUUUGCCAGAAAAUCAUUAG
rnacentral:rRNA from 1 species